rnacentral:rRNA from 1 species
GACAGAGGCCUCGAGCGUUAGGCGGAAUCACUGGGCUUAAAGCGUGUGUAGGCGGGCCCGUAAGUGUCUUGUGAAAUCCCACGGCUCAACCGUGGAACUGCUGGGCAUACUGCGGGUCUUGGGCCAACUAGGGGCAGCCGGAACAAGCGGUGGAGCGGUGAAAUGCGUAGAUAUCGCUUGGAACGCCGAAGGUGAAAACAGGCUGCUGGGGUUGCGCCGACGCUGAGACACGAAAGCGUGGGUAGCAAACAGG